CAGCAGCCGCGGUAAUACCGGCGGCCCGAGUGGCGGUCACUAUUAUUGGGCUUAAAGCGUCCGUAGCCGGGUUGGGAAGUCCUCCGGGAAAUCUGGCCGCUUAACGGUCAGAAUGCCGGAGGAUACUCCCAGCCUAGGGGGCGGGGGAGGCCGAGGGGAUUCCCGGGGUAGGGGGGAAAUCCUAUAAUCCCGGGAGGACCACCGGUGGCGAAGGCGCUCGGCUGGAACGCGUCCGACGGUGAGGGACGAAGGCCAGGGGAGCAAACCGGAUUAGAUACCCGGGUAGUCCUGGCGGUAAACGAUGCGGACUUUGUGUCGGACAAGCUAUGAGCUUGUCCGGUGCCGGAGGGAAACCGUUAAGUCCGCCGCCUGGGGAGUACGGCCGCAAGGCUGAAACUUAAAGGAAUUGGCGGG
rnacentral:rRNA from 1 species